UACGGGGGGGGCAAGCGUUGUUCGGAAUUACUGGGCGUAAAGGGCUCGUAGGUGGCCAACUAAGUCAUACGUGAAAUCCCUCAGCUUAACUGGGGAACUGCGUCUGAUACUGGAUGGCUUGAGUUUGGGAGAGGGAUGCGGAAUUCCAGGUGUAGCGGUGAAAUGCGCAGAUAUCAGGAGGAACACCGGUGGCGAAGGCGGGUCUCUGGGCCGAUACUGACGCUGAGGAGCGAAAGCAUGGGUAGCGAACAGG
rnacentral:rRNA from 1 species